UAGAAGAAGAUUACUCCUUUCAACCCUGAAAAACAAAUGGAAAUAAAAGGCGAAAAUAGGACUUUUAAACAACAGCAAUCCAUCCAUCCAUUUUCUACUGCUUGUCCCUUUCGGGGUCGCAGGGUUGUGUUGCAGCCUAUCUCAGCUGCAUUCGGGCGGAAGGCGGACAACAAAUGUUCCACCGCGAGCGAGUCAUUGUUUCCUGGCGGACCUUUUUAAGUGACGGACGCAUUGCUCCAGACCAGCAACACGUGAACAGUCGGCAGAAAGCGGAGGACACAAACAUGUCAGAACAAGGCGGCGAGGCGUGAGCCAGGUCGGAACACUUUCCCUUCCACGCCAAGACGGAAGUCCCAGGAGAAGGUCAGUCCGAGGCUCCGCCCCCUCGUGCCACCUGCUGCCAAGGAGACUACGUCAAAGAUCAAUCUGGAAGGAUUUAGUCCUCUAACACCUCGACACGCAGAUUUACAACCAGGAGGAGAAGAAGAACCUUCUGGUCCCGUUGGUGCGCCAUGUGACUGCUCAGUUCCACCUGUGUCCACCAUGUGAUGUCAUGUCACUUGACCUGGGAGGAAGUCAGGAUGUACCAAGACUGCGCGUGCAGUUGACAACAAGUGCAAAAGUUGCACAGGCCGCCCCAUUCAAAUGAGGUUUCUGCGCACUAAACGGCGUGUGCAAACUUGAAAAUAGUGUGGGAUCUACUAAGACCGCGUGUGGGCCACCUUCUGUCCACCCGAGGGUAGCCGGAGUAGCCAACCAGGACCUAUGAGGCCCACGUCAGGGGCCGAAAGGGAGCUGGUCCUGGAAGCUGUGGGGUGUGAGCGAGGAGGGUUCCCUGGAGAGACUGGAGAACUCCUGCAGAGCCAGGUGACCAGGGACUCUAUUGGGACCUUAAUGAGCAUUUGCUCCAGAGUCCAGGGUGUGGCCGGUCUUCCCGAGGUCUCGCACGUAUGGAAGAUUU